CAUCAAAGCCAAACAUGUGGACGAUACUGAAAGGCCUUUCGUUUCUAAAAACGAGUCAAUGUGUCGAUAAAUUAUUCGCGUCUGUGUUCAUCAACACGAUGAUAUGGACUGUGAUGUUGCUUAUCGCCGGUUGUCUCAUGUCUAACACUUUUCACAGAUUAUUUAACGAAAAGAAAAAUUUUUUCGAGAAUUUAUUUUGUGAUCUGGAGAAUGAAGCGGCAAAAAGUCGUCCGAAAUGUAUUUAUCUUUUUUCUUCUACGGUUAGUCAGUCACAUGGUCAAAUGGUUACCUUCUUACACCUUUAUAUCAAGUACAACCCUGAUUAAGUUUUUUUACUUUUUAAUUAUACACUAGUAUAUAUAGCUACUUAUCUUUAUAUUUCUAGGCUUACUGUUUUAUUGCAACCAUAACCUUGGCAUUGAAUGUUCUGUUCAACUAUCAAAUAUUCAAACCCACAACAUCUACAGUUGCAACUCCAGUAACAAUUACUAUGGCUACAAGCCCAGCAACAAUUGCUAACAACACGACACCAGCAACAUUUGCUGCGGAUAUGACACAUUUGAGAAGCAAAUGAGUCAAGAACAUACC